UCGUUUUUUCUGGGAGAAGGGAACUA
rnacentral:piRNA from 1 species